rnacentral:rRNA from 1 species
CCUACGGGAGGCAGCAGUGGGGAAUCUUGCACAAUGGAGGAAACUCUGAUGCAGCGAUGCCGCGUGAGUGAAGAAGGCCUUUGGGUUGUAAAGCUCUUUUGUAGGGGAAGAUAAUGACUGUACCCUAAGAAUAAGGUCCGGCUAACUUCGUGCCAGCAGCCGCGGUAAUACGAAGGGACCUAGCGUAGUUCGGAAUUACUGGGCGUAAAGCGCGCGUAGGCCGUUGAGUUAGUUAAUUGUGAAAUCCCAAAGCUUAACUUCGGAACUGCAAUUAAAACUGCUCGACUAGAGUUUGAUAGAGGAAAGCGGAAUACAUAGUGUAGAGGUGAAAUUCGUAGAUAUUAUGUAGAACACCAGUUGCGAAGGCGGCUUUCUGGAUCAACACUGACGCUGAGGCGCGAAAGUAUGGGUAGCAAAGAGGAUUAGAUACCCUCGUAGUCCAUACCAUAAACGAUGAUUGCUAGAUGUUGGAAAUUUAUUUUCAGUAUCGCANCUACNCAUANACAUCGCCGUGGGAGUACGACCGCGAAGUAAACGUACAANAGAUAAGUAGCGUUGAGAGUUGCGACGCGACGACGAGGGAGGAGG